UGGCUUUUCAUCAUGAAGUUUCUACAUCUACUCGUGCUUGCCGUCUGCGUGCUCGCAAUGGCUCUGCCUUCACUGGCUUACCCGGAACCGCAAAAUCCGACUAGCGUCUUUGCGAGGCUGAGGAACGGAGGGAUUUUCCACCCUGGACUCGUCAACCCUACCUUGGCCAGGCUCGGCUUACGGGGAUAGACCAGUAUCCCCCCUCCCCCCCCUCGGCUCAUCCUCCGGCCAUCCUGAGACCAUCCUUCUAUCCUUGGUCACGC